rnacentral:lncRNA from 1 species
CAACUACAUAUCAACCGAGAUCUAGAUCACAUAAGAGGCAUAAAAGAGAGGGAUUUAUAUAUAUAUUAGGUAAAGGAAUUCACUCACCUUCGGGUACGAAAUUGAUACUGAUUCCGGCAGCCUCAUAUCUAUCUAUCAAUUCUUUGGGGAGUAGGUUUUUCUCAUCUUGGUACAACCGGAUUGAGACAGGACCAUUAUAACAACCCUUAUCCUCAAGAGCUGAUUUUAUUUUCUUAGAAAUCAAAUAAGGAUCACAUUCAGGGAUUGGGAAAUCCACCACGUCCCAGAACACUCCUGUGUUACGCUCUGCCACCGGAAAACAAUCCAUUAAAUUAUUUUUACUAUAUGACGACAGAUCAAAUCUUUUCCUAUCAAAAUAUAGAGACCAAACAAUUUCGAGCAAGACAAAGAGGGAUCUUACCGGCGCGCACACCGGCCCUGAAAGGAUGACACACUCGAGACAUGGUUUCGUCGGGAGACAUGGUUUCGUCGGGAGACAUGGUUUCGAGUUUCGACGGAGAGCGAGAAAAUUAAAGACUUCUGCGGCUGCAGAUCUGAAACUCGCAGAUCUGAAAUUAGGGUGAUCAGAUCAGGUAAUAUCUGAUUGGGCUGGGCCUUGCAGAUAUCAGUUUGGCCCUGUUGUCGUGAUCUCUUUUCAGUAUAAGAAACGGCUGAUAAUGGAAAACUCGAUGCUGUCCUAUAGAAGAACCGAAUCAGCAUAUUCCAUAGAGAAUUGUGGGGACUUGGGAAAAACGACAAUUUCUAUAUCUUUUCAAGAAAGUGCUAGGGUUUUAGAGAAUUAGUGAAGAUGACACAUGAUGAUACUGGCAUAGUGGCAUAUGGAUUAUUUUAAAACACACAACAUGGGGAGGCAAAAUAAUUAUGGUGAUAUGAGAUGGCAUAAUCUACAAGCAGGUACGUUUAAAUGUAGGUUGUGAGUUUUUAAAUGGUUUUUAGAUUGUACUUUUUUGGUUUUUGAUUUUUGGGUUUUUAGUUUUUGUAGUAGAUUUUAAUUUUUUUAAAAACUUGAAUGUGUUGUGAACUGUGUCUUUCAUUAAUAGAAUAAGAGAUAUAUAUACAAGGAUAAUAGCAGGAUACAGAUAAUAAGGUAAAACUCUAAUGGGCCAUGGGCCGGUUAUGGAGUCCAUCUAUAUGGUUUAUAACACUCUCCUUUGAAAGACAUAACCGUGCCCGAUACUAAACCGGGAUCUCUAUAAUGCGCUGGGGAAUGUUGCCUCAUUAAAAUUUAGCUAUACCCGCAAUUUGGCUAAUGAACCAUGUCUUUAGAUAUUUCGUUUAUUGAAUUCUCAUAGUCAUCUAUCUCAUGGUCGAAAUCUUCUUCACCAUCAUGAUGAACUAAAUGAGCUUCAGAUUCUUUUCAAACUCUCUUGAUAGAGAUCAACGAGAUGCUUAGGUGUCCUGCACGUCUUAGUCCAAUGGUUUCCCCAUUCCUCAUCAGUGGCAAACAAGUUUAUUUGAGUGUUGUGGUUUGGGUAUACCGUGGCCUCUACCUCGAUUACGACCAAAGUCGGGUCGGCGGCCUUAACCAUAUGAAUGGUUUCCUUGAUCAUAUAAAUUAUAAUUGCCACUUCUACCACGUUCAUUCCAUUUACCAUGACUGUGGCCAUGAUACUUAUCUCUUUGGACGUGGUUAGACUCUUUAGUCUCUUUAGGCUCUUUAGGCUCUUCAGCCCAAUGGGCUUCUGAUAAUGGGGUAGGACCAGGAGGUCUCAUUUCACUAUUUAUAACUCAUUAUUUUGCUCAGCAAGUAGCAAAACAAGAAUUUAGACUUGCAUAUGUGGUAAAAACCUUUUUCAUGAUAUUGUUGCUGAGGAAAUAUAUUGUUUGUGUGAAAGGUCGAGAAUGCUUUCUCUAGCAAGUCAUUCUCAGUAACUUCCUCACCACGGAAUCUCAGUAUUGACACUAUUUUUAAUAGUGCUGAGUUAUACUCAUUCAUGGAUUUGAAUUCCUGGAAUCUGAGAUUCUCCCGAUCGAAUCGGGCUUUUGGGUAAUAGCACCGUUUUUUUUGUGGUUAUAUUGAUUUUUUUUUUUUUUUUUUUUUUUUUUCAACUCUGUUCUGAGGUCCAGAGGAUUCUUAAUAGUGAGGUACUGAUUUUGAGACUCUCAUUGAGGUGAUGGCGUAUCUUAGUAAUCGCCUUAUAUCUUUCUCUUCUGGUGACAUUGUUUCCUUGCACAAUAGAUUCACCAAGCCCUUUUUUCUUUAGGACAAUCUCAGUGUCCAAAGUCCAUUGUAAAUAAUUGUCACCAGAGGCAUUGAGUGUCGUGCAUUCAUAAUAGUUGAUUUCUGACAUCUACAAUAUAUAGAGUUAAAUGAGAACUCAUGUAAUCGGUUAGAUCAAGUCAUGCGUUAAGACCGAACCAUGCUUGUCUUCAGCAAGUGUUUUCUAAACAAUCAUGUUAUAUAUAUAUGGAUGAAAUCAACCCUAGAAGAUUGAUCUAGUAUGCAACAACCAAACAAUCGGAUCAUACUAGAUUAGGAUAUUAGGAUUUCGCGGUUAAGUUUUAGGGUUUUAGCAUCCGCGAUUUAUAGUACUAGGGUUUUUGCUAGGAUUUCGGUUUUAUGUAUGGAACUUUCUAUUUAUGGAAACUUUUCUUAUAUGGAACUUUCCUUUUAUGGAAAAUUUCUAUUUCUCAUCUAGAAAGAAAUCCUAAACAAUUAUGUACUUUAGGGUUUUGGAAUAUUUCCUUAUGAAGGGGUUUCCUAUUUUGGUAACUUUCCAUUUUGGAAAACUUGCUAUUUUACGAAACUUUCUAUUUCUGUAAAUUUUCCUUAUAUGGAACUUUCUAUUUCUGGAAACUUUCUAUUUCUGGAAACUUGAUCUUAAACCGUGACUUAGGGUUUAUUAAACCGAUUUAACCUAGGAUUUAGGGUUUCGGUUUAUUUUCGGUUUAACCUAGGGUUUAUAUUAAAACAUUCAGUCUAUCAUGCCAUUAAACAUCUUUCCAUUCACUAGCUUCUCAAUUAAUUCUCCAAUCAUAAAUCAAAUCACAUGUGCCAAUUUUCAUGCAAAUUUUAUCUUAUCAAACUUUAAUUGGAUCAUGUAUAUAAAGCAUAAUAAAUAAAUAGCACUUAUCUUAAUUGGAGAACUGAAACAGAGACCCAAGAUCUGAUACGGAGAUUGGAAACAGUUAUGUCUCUUAGCUGGUUGGGACCUCCACGUCCGUGGCCUGCUCUUCUUUGAAGUUUUUUGAGAGUAUAAUCAAAUUGGAAAGGUUAGGACUGUCCAGUACCCACAAAAGAAUGUCCACUAACAUCUUAUGAACUCUCGCAUAUCCAUACGCCUCAGCAACUACAUAUCAACCGAGAUCUAGAUCACAUAAGAGGCAUAAAAGAGAGGGAUUUAUAUAUAUAUUAGGUAAAGGAAUUCAUUCACCUUCGGGUACGAAAUUGAUACUGAUUCCGGCAGACUCAUAUCUAUCUAUCAAUUCUUUGGGGAGUAGGUUUUUCUCAUCUUGGUACAACCGGAUUGAGACAGGACCAUUAUAACAAC